CGGAAUAAAUACCGACAGGCUUUGUGGCGGGCCGUUGAUCACCCGAAACAAUAGAAACGCCACUCUAGAUAACCGCAUAGUCCUUGCCCGAACGAACAACGGAAGAUCGGAGUUUAUUUGGCGGGCGGAACUCCGAGUUUCGAGUUUCCCCUUUCUCUCUGCCUUUUUACUGGACUCCGUUUCGCUUCCAGUGUUCCUUUUCCAUCGACUACCGCCAGCGUCUCUCUACAACCCGUUCGGCAAACGAGUCCCAGAACCACGGUCUUACAUACAGGUCUUGCAACUCUGGUGGUGGGGGUAGGCUAGGAGUGACUCAGAUAUUGGCCCGUAUUCAUAGUCAGUUCUUAAAUUUAAGCACGGUCUUAAGUCCUCGUUUACCAUGACUUGAGAUAGGACUUCAGAGUCUGAAGACCGUGCUUAAAUUUAAGAACUGACUAUGAAUACGGGCCAUUGAAUCAAUUUGUUGUUUACGGUUUCGGCACUGCGUCGUUACUAUCUAGUAAGCCUGAGUUACAUAACCUCAAAUUUCGUUAUUUUUGGCCGUUGUCGCAAACCGCUAAAUGGUGACACGAGUGACCCUACUAGGUUACAGCGACCCUUGCGGCCAAUCUAAGAAUUAUUGAAAGCGGACUCAAGAAGUGAGUCACCCCCACCACCAGAGUUGCAAGACUUGUAUGUGAGACCGUGGCCAGAACCGAUCCUGCAGGCGAAUGCUGUGACCGGAUCGACUGACUACUUACCAACCUCCCACAUGUGUAUUUCAUCGCCAUGACAGACUUAAAUGAACUGUAACGAGCGCGAGUUGUUGCUGUUACGGGCUCUAGUCUAUUCGGCCAUCCUGGGGAGAUAUAUUAUGACGCUGGGGAUAUACUUUGUAGAAGUGCGAUUUGAAUUAUUAACUGCCAAAACAAUCGUGAA
rnacentral:lncRNA from 1 species